rnacentral:rRNA from 1 species
UCGCACGAGAAAGUGGAGCAUCCAUGAGUACAGUGGCGUACGGGUGAGUAACACGUGGAUCAUCUACCUCUUGGUGGGGAAUAACCCUGGGAAACCGGGGCUAAUACCGCAUAAGCCUGGAAAGGGAAAGCAGCAAUGCGCCGAGAGAGGAGUCCGCGGCCGAUUAGCUCGUUGGCAGGGUAAUGGCCUACCAAGGCAAUGAUCGGUAGCCGGCCUGAGAGGGCACACGGCCACACUGGCACUGAAACACGGGCCAGACUCCUACGGGAGGCAGCAGUGGGGAAUCUUGCACAAUGGGGGAAACCCUGAUGCAGCGACGCCGCGUGAGCGAUGAAGCCCUUCGGGGUGUAAAGCUCUUUCGGCAGGGAAGAUUAUGACGGUACCUGCAGAAGCAGCUGCGGCUAACUACGUGCCAGCAGCCGCGGUAAUACGUAGGCAGCAAGCGUUGUUCGGAGUUACUGGGCGUAAAGGGUGUGUAGGCGGCCUGUUAAGUUCCGUGUGAAAUCUCCCGGCUCAACCGGGAGGGUGCGCGGAAUACUGACGGGCUAGAGUGCGGGAUGGGAGAGUAGAAUUCCUGGUGUAGCGGUGAAAUGCGUAGAUAUCAGGAGGAAUACCGGUGGUGUAGACGGCUCUCUGGACCGCAACUGACGCUGAGACACGAAAGCGUGGGUAGCAAACAGGAUUAGAUACCCUGGUAGUCCACGCCCUAAACGAUGCAUAUUUGGUGUANGUCAUUCAGUUGAUCUGUGCCGGAGCUAACGCGUUAAAUAUGCCGCCCUGGGGAGUACAGUCGCAAGGCUGAAACUCAA